UACGGGGGGGGGGCUAGCGUUGCUCGGAAUCACUGGGCGUAAAGCGCACGUAGGCGGACUCUUAAGUCGGUGGUGAAAUCCUGGAGCUCAACUCCAGAACUGCCUUCGAUACUGAGAGUCUCGAGUCCGGGGAGAGGUGAGUGGAACUGCGAGUGUAGAGGUGAAAUUCGUAGAUAUUCGCAAGAACACCAGUGGCGAAGGCGGCUCACUGGCCCGGUACUGACGCUGAGGUGCGAAAAGCGUGGGGGAGCAAACAGGG
rnacentral:rRNA from 1 species